GGGUUGUGAGGUUAAGCGACUAAGCGUACACGGUGGAUGCCCUGGCAGUCAGAGGCGAUGAAGGACGUGCUAAUCUGCGAUAAGCGUCGGUAAGGUGAUAUGAACCGUUAUAACCGGCGAUUUCCGAAUGGGGAAACCCAGUGUGUUUCGACACACUAUCAUUAACUGAAUCCAUAGGUUAAUGAGGCGAACCGGGGGAACUGAAACAUCUAAGUACCCCGAGGAAAAGAAAUCAACCGAGAUUCCCCCAGUAGCGGCGAGCGAACGGGGAGCAGCCCAGAGCCUGAAUCAGUGUGUGUGUUAGUGGAAGCGUCUGGAAAGGCGCGCGAUACAGGGUGACAGCCCCGUACACAAAAAUGCACAUACUGUGAGCUCGAUGAGUAGGGCGGGACACGUGGUAUCCUGUCUGAAUAUGGGGGGACCAUCCUCCAAGGCUAAAUACUCCUGACUGACCGAUAGUGAACCAGUACCGUGAGGGAAAGGCGAAAAGAACCCCGGCGAGGGGAGUGAAAAAGAACCUGAAACCGUGUACGUACAAGCAGUGGGAGCACGCUUCGGCGUGUGACUGCGUACCUUUUGUAUAAUGGGUCAGCGACUUAUAUUCUGUAGCAAGGUUAACCGAAUAGGGGAGCCGAAGGGAAACCGAGUCUUAACUGGGCGUUAAGUUGCAGGGUAUAGACCCGAAACCCGGUGAUCUAGCCAUGGGCAGGUUGAAGGUUGGGUAACACUAACUGGAGGACCGAACCGACUAAUGUUGAAAAAUUAGCGGAUGACUUGUGGCUGGGGGUGAAAGGCCAAUCAAACCGGGAGAUAGCUGGUUCUCCCCGAAAGCUAUUUAGGUAGCGCCUCGUGAAUUCA
rnacentral:rRNA from 1 species